rnacentral:rRNA from 1 species
AUUGAACGCUGGCGGCAGGCCUAACACAUGCAAGUCGAGCGGAUGAAGGGAGCUUGCUCCUGGAUUCAGCGGCGGACGGGUGAGUAAUGCCUAGGAAUCUGCCUGGUAGUGGGGGAUAACGUCCGGAAACGGGCGCUAAUACCGCAUACGUCCUGAGGGAGAAAGUGGGGGAUCUUCGGACCUCACGCUAUCAGAUGAGCCUAGGUCGGAUUAGCUAGUUGGUGGGGUAAAGGCCUACCAAGGCGACGAUCCGUAACUGGUCUGAGAGGCUGAUCAGUCACACUGGAACUGAGACACGGUCCAGACUCCUACGGGAGGCAGCAGUAGGGAAUAUUGGGCAAUGGGCGAAAGCCUGAUCCAGCCAUGCCGCGUGUGUGAAGAAGGUCUUCGGAUUGUAAAGCACUUUAAGUAGGGAGGAAGGGCAGUAAGUUAAUACAUUGCUGUUUUGACGGUACCAACAGAAUAAGCACCGGCUAACUUCGUG